rnacentral:lncRNA from 1 species
GUAAAUGAAAAUGUAAAUGAAAAUGAAGGUUAUAAUGACGGUCAAGAAGAUGACAAAAAUGAUGAAAAUAAUGUUUUGUCAAAAGAAAAAAAUUUAAAAUAUUCAAAAAAAAAAAUGUUACCGUUUUUACCUAUCGAAACACAUAAAUUAGCAAAGUUUUGUAAUGUUAUAAGAGAUUAUGAAAAAGAUUAUAAUUUAAACUUGUCUGUACAUAGUCAAUGGUUACCUGUUUUAUUUAAUAUGCCAAUUGUUAAUAAAUUACCACAUUGGGUUAAAAAAUGUAAAUAUUGUUGUUUCAAAAUGACUGAGUUGAAUAAUAUUCAAAAUAGUAAAGAAAGCAUCACUUCUUUUUUAUCUAAUCAUCAAGAAAAUGAAAAACAAACGGAAGAUAAAACAGAAAAUAAAAUAGAGGAUAAAAUAGAGGAUAAAAUAGAGGGUGAUAUUAAGAAAGGUAAGAAUAAUAAUAGUAAUGAAAAUAUUGAUGAAAAAGAUGAAACGAAUAAUGAACGUGAUAAAAAACAGGAUGAUGGUGAUGGUGAUGAUGUAGAAAAUAAUAAUAAAAAUGAUAAAAAUGACAAAAAUGACAAAAAUGAUAAAAAUGAUAUGAACGAAUAUAAUGACUCAAAUGUUGAUGGAAAUAAUGAUAACGAAAAAAAUACAGAUGUUGAAGAAAAAGAAAAUGAUAAAGAUAAAAAUGAUCAAAAAGAUAAUAAUAAUAAUAAUAAUCAAAAAAAUAAAAAAAAAAAUAAAGAAAAAAAAGAAGAUACUGAUGAAUAUAAUGUUUUAAAAAUACCACCACAAGUUUUUGAUUAUCCAAUUGAUCAAUUAGGUCAUGUAAAUGAAUGCUUUUUAUUUAAACUUUAUUCUAUUAAUAGUAAAAGUAUUUUAAUUUCAAGACUAACAUUAAAAUAUGAUCCUAGAAUAUCAGGAUGGAAAGGAGAUAAUAAAAUUAAAAAAGAUAUGAUAAACAAUAUGUCUAUGAAUAUGAACAAUAUGUCUAUGAAUAUGAAUAAUAUUUCGAUGAAUAUGAAUAAUAUGCCUAUGAAUAUGAAUAUAAUGAAAAAUAUGAACAUGAUGAACAUGCAUAAAUAUAAAGGUGGUAAAUACAAAAAUAAUAAAUCAGUUAAUCCAAAUAUUGCAAGUAUGACAAACAUGGCCAACAUAACAAAUAUGGCAGCUGGAAUGACAGGCAUGACAAACAAUAUGAUGAAUCCAUACAUGAAUGGCACAUAUAACCCUAAUUAUCGAAACAAUAUGUAUGACCAAAAUAUUCCUAUUCCACCUCCCAUGAAUAAUUUUAACAAAAAAAUGUACCAAGGACAUAAUAUGAACAUUAAAAGAAAAAACGAUUUAUACAAUUGUGAUAGCAUGGAAAAGUGCUACGAUAACUAUAAUAUGAAGGAUAACUACAAAUCAGAUGACGAUAGCUGUAAGAACUUCAUUUCUUAGUUUUAAUACGUGUGUAAUAUAAACUUUGUUUUGUGUAUAAUAUAAGCGUUUUAAUAAAAAAAAAAAAAAAAAA